CAACCAACAAGUCUGUGAUUCUAUAAUACGUACACUUAAUAAGAACCAGUUUACACCUUUGGUAUUAAUACAGGAAAAGUGCAAAUCCAGAGAAUGGCAAUGCUCACCAUGGAGUUCUUCAGGACCUACACCACUAUAACAGGAUUUUCAGUAUGGGCUUUAUUUGUAGAGAUUUCCAAAGGAGGCUGACCUGGGAAUGACAGUUUGGCAAAGCAGGAUGGAAAAAGCCAAGGAGAAAAAUAUGUCUCUCAACAGUUAAAGGUCUUUAUUCUUUCCUUUAUGUGUGCAUAACAAAUACAUGCAGGGAACAGACUGCUUUUUCAUCACACUGAUGAAACAACAAGACCAUGGAAAAAUCUAGUAAAGCUGAAGCAAUCCAGAAAGAAGUUCCCCUGGAUGGGGUGCUGAGCCUGGGAAUUCUCCAUAUGGAGAAUGCAUGGCCAAGCAGUGCCAGCAGGGCACAGGAACGUACAACGUAGGAUGGAGAAUGUCAUUGAGAGGGCUCCAAUGGGAG